UACAUGUCUGAAACUGGGUCAGAGAAUACAUGCAGUUAUUGCUCUGAAUAUACGCGGGUAUUUAAAGUGCAUGGCGGAUUUAUUAAUUGUUAUGGAUAACCUCCAGCAGUAAGAAAUAUAAAGGCUCACUGCAGUUUUGACUAUGCUCAACAAGUAUUGACCCCAUACUAUGCUCAGCAAGUAGGGCCCUUGUAUUUCUGUGAAUCCUCAUGCAGUACAGUACUGCUGUUGGAAGAGGAGCAAACAGUGUCGUAUCUAUGGUCCACCAUCACUUCAAGCAUCAUGGCUAUGGAGAAAAGAAUGUUUCAUUACAUAUGGACAAUUAUAGUGGACAAAAUAAGAAAAGUGUUGUAAUAAGCUAUGGAAUGUGGCUUGUUAUGAUGGGUCUACAUGAUGACUUGGAGUACAACCUGAUUGAGGCCCGGCAUACAGAAUUCAGUUCUGAACAUGUUUAGAAUGUCUUCUGCAUGACCUGGUAUAGUAUUCUUGAAGGAUUAUAACUUCAACACAGAGACGGAAAUUAAUAUUUUUAGGCAGGGGGUUGGCAUGACAGGCAAAUUCACCAACCCUAUUACCAUUCCUGAGUUGGAUGCCAGUCGACAGUGGUACCUGUAUAAUGAAAUAGCGCCCCUUUGCAGUAACAGCAAUGUAUGCUCAAAACCAGCAGUGCCAAAGCCAUUCAAAUUGAGAACUCAAGUCAUUUAAAACGAAGAAUGAAUGGAAAAAAGUGUUUAACAUUUAAAGUAAUACAGAGAAAGCGCUCUGAAAUUUUGAUUAAUUUGAAAGUGUUUUUCAUUUUUUGAAGAUGUACUAGAUCCAAAUUCCAUAUAUUUGAAAAAGAACAAAUGUUACAUACAGUUUAUGUAAACAUUGAAUUAACAACUUUAUGGUGUCAACAGUACUAUGCAUUUGUUAAAUGUUGACACACAAUAUACAUGUAAGGCUGAACACAGUAUAAAUGUGAAAUUCCUCUAAAACACUGGAAGAUUUUUCAACAAUAAUUGUAACAUAAUAUGAUAGUAAUGUACAUUUUUUUCAUUAUGACAGUUGGAUUAUAUAGAUCUACGAAUAUUUUCUGCUGUAUUUAAACUGCAUGUAAUCAUUUCUGUCGGCAGUAUCAUGUUCAUUUUCCCUUUUCAUGAACAAUUAAUUUAACCUGUAUGAAAUCACAA